CAUCCAAUUUGUUCAAUUUCUAUUCUUUUUCUAUUUUCCCAUCCACAUGGACUGGUAACUAGAUCAUUUUUUCAAAACUGGAAAAAUCAUCAUGCAUGUACAGUAUGUAUCUACCUGUAACGAACAGUCCACUGAAGGCGAGUGUAGAUGAACCCAAGUGCAGUUUAUUUACAAAGGUGUAAUCCAAAAUCCAAACAAUAAUCCAGACCAGAUACACAGUGGAGCAGUGACAGACAAUGGAGCAGUUCCAGAGCAGUAUGGAGCCGUGGCGGUGCAGGCCCAGCGGGGAGCCAUGGUGAAGCAGAGACAUGGACAGACCACUUGGCCAUGACAGGACAGACAGUGAGUUCUUGGGCGGCCUCCGUGGCCGUUACAGGACAGGCAGCGAGUUCGUGGGCGGCCUCCGUGGCUGAGACAGGACAGGCAGUGAGUUCGUGGGCGGCCUCCGUGGCCGAGACAGGACAGGCAGUGAGUUUGUGGGCAGCCUCCGUGGCCGAGACAGGACAGACAGUGAGUUCGUGGGCGGCCUACGUGGCCGAGACAGGACAGGCAGUGAGUUUGUGGACGGCCUCCGUGGCCGAGACAGGACAGGCAGUGAGUUCGUGGACGGCCUCCGUGGCCGUGACAGGGCAGGCAGAGAGCUCGUGGACGGCCUCCUUGGCUGUGACAGGGCAGGCAGAGAGCUCGAGGACGGCCUCCUUGGCCGUGACAGGGCAGGCAGAGAGCUCGAGGACGGCCUUCUUGGCCGUAAGAUGGACUAAUGAAGCAGAGCAGGAUUUACAAUCUUGUUUUGACCUCACUGAUUGGAGUGUUUUUGAAGCUGCUGCCACCAGUCUGGAUGAACUCACAGAGACUGUAACAUCUUAUAUCAGUUUCUGUGAGGAUAUGUGUAUUCCUACCAGGACUAAACUAAUUUACAACAAUGACAAACCGUGGUUCACAGCAAAACUCAGUCAGCUCCGUCAGGCCAAAGAAGAUGCUUACAGGAAGGGGGACAAUGUCUUGUAUAAACAGGCUAAAUACACACUGGAAAAGAAGAUAA
ensembl:lncRNA